AGAUGGAAUUUCGCUCUUGUUGCCCAGGCUGGAGUGCAGUGGCGAGAUCUUGGCUCACCGCAACCUCCGCCUCCCAGGUUCAAGCAAUUCUCCUGCCUCAGCCUCCCAAGUAGCUGGGAUUACAGGCAUGUGCCACCACCCCUGGCUAAUUUUGUAUUUUCAGUAGGGACGGGGUUUCUCCAUAUUGGUCAGGCUGGUCUCAAACUCCCAACCUCAGGUGAUCCACCUGCCUCGGCCUCCCAAAGUGCUGGGAUUAUAGGCCACAUUAGGAGGCCAAAGCAGGAGGAUUGCUUGAGCCCAGGAAUUCAAGACCAGCUUGGACAACAUAGUGCAACCCCAUUUCUAUUGUUAAUUAAAAAAAAAAAAAAAAUGAAAAACACUUGUGAAGGUACAUCUGUUGAUAAUAAAGAACACUGAUUUUCAUUAAAACCCCCAAAACAUUUAUUACUUUAAAGAAUAAAAAUAACAAGUGUCAUGAUAAAAUAUGUCUGGGAUUUGUUUUAAAAUAAUCUGGGGAAUGGAAGUGAAUCAGAGUAUAAAUCAAACAAGGCUGGCCAAACAUGCUGAAGUAGAGGAAUAGGUAUGUGAGGAUGCAUUAUGCUUCUCUACUUUUGUAUGUUUACAAUUUCCUAUAAUAGAUAUCUGUGAAUUUGCUUAGUAUGCUUUCUGUAAGCAAACAUGGAUGAAGCAGCACAUGAAAAAGAAUUUUAACCAACAAACUAGCAGAAAAUAAUGUGACAGACGACUUUUAGAGGCUUUGGAGAAACUGAAUGCUAAAGGUGCUGUACAGCCAGCCCCAGUCUUUCUGACAUUCUGGCAGUGUCUUUCUCAAUUGCAGCUCCUCAUCUGAGCCACUGUCCAGAAAAUAAUUUGAGUAACUUUAAUCCUCAAUUCUCCCAAGGAUAGUACCAUUCUAGAUCUUACUAAUUUAUUAGCUACAAUGGAUACCUUAGGGGGGGAUUAAGGCCUACUUUUCUAGUGAAAUCCCAGUUGAGAAUGGCUGCUAAAAACUGAGUAACAUUAGACUGAAAAAAAGGGAAUAUUGUAUAAAGUUGUACUUUAAAAAAGAGAAAAAGAUGUGUCUAAGUGACUAUCAGAUAGCAAUGUAAUGCUCCCUAAUUGUAAAAAAAAUCACAAAUUUGUGAACUCACAAAUUAUAGACAUGUAUAAUUGACCUACAGGUCAAAAGUGCCUGUGGAAGAGCUUGUUAAAAAUAGAACUACUCAGCCCCUUCUCAAAUAGCCAUCGGCCUCAGCCAGCUGAAAAGUAAAGUUGGCAGGUUAUGUAACUUAGUGUUUCUUUUCUCUGUAGAUGUGUUCAAACUCUUCCAGGGUAAACUGCUUAACUCAUUUGAGAUUCUUUGACUUAAUACUGAGCUAUGUGCAUUUGCAUUUUAAAAUUUUUGUAUCUUUUUCCCACCAUAGAGACUGAGAGAAA
rnacentral:lncRNA from 1 species